AAUACUUUUUACCCAGUAAAAAUGCUUUGGAAAUCUGAUAUAUAACAUAAAAAAUAACAGAGUAUAGAAAUCUGGCCCCUUGAUUUACAUGAUAAAACGUAAACAAAAAUUAACAAACAAGCAAAAUUCACGUAUAUGUAAGCUGAAUUUUCCGGAUACUCUAGUCUUGUUUCCUUUUAUCGCACCGAUCGCCCCUAUGUCACAGACUUGUAGAUCGUUCAGAAAUUUACCCGGAAGCUAGCCAAAAAUUAUGUCGACUUUUAUAUCUACAGAUCAAAACAUGUGUAAUCAUUUGCUGUCCAUUUUUCAUUCCGCGACGGUCCUACGAAACUCAUCAGCGGACAAUACUCGCCUAAUUCCAAAUGUUACAUCACCUUCGAUUUGAGCGAUUACACACGAAUGGUGGUAGAUAAACAUGUAAGUAGCAUGACCAUGCCCCAGUCUCCGAUUCUCAUGUAACCUCAUUCUUCAAAUUAUCACAAGAAUUCAAUGGAAGAAGGUGAGGUUAGCCCAGUAAAAUAGGAUAUCGGUCCUUUGUUUUUCUUUCGUUUUAACACUCCGUGGUUAAUUCUAACGCAGUUCCUAAACAAAUUAAAAGUGAAAUCACGAGCAAAAAUGACUCGUCUAAUUCCAUUGAGAAUUGAUGAACUAUGUCGUUGGUUUUUUUGAUAAAAUCAGAAGGUCCCAAACCUUAAAUUUAGGACUGAUUGACUCAUUCACGUAUAUAUACUGUAAUUAAUGUUACCUAUUCAUUUGAGCUUCAGCUAUUCACAUCUUCUUUAGUGAACUUUUAGUGAUUUCGGGCACAAUAAAAAGUUGCAUUUUAUUUUAGAAGAUACAAUACACACGCACUUUGUGGCUCAGUAAGCAAUGCUACGAUCAUGGAGAAACCUAAUAACUCUCAGAGAGAUUAAAUUUGAAACUGUUACAAUAUAAAAUGAUACGAUAUUUGAAUUUUUUAAUUUAUUUCAAUUCAUAUUUCAAUCUUCUUAACGGCCAUGAGUAUCAAAAUAUCACAAAUAACAGUUAUUUAGUUCUCAAGGUGAUUGUCACGGUCUUACAGAAUUUCUAAUUUAGAAUUUUUUGUGGGCAUAAAUUUACACAAAACGUUACUUUCCAGUUAUCCCCGUAUUCAAUUUCGCCUGACAUUGCAAAACAGGACAAUCAAGUAAACUUGAUAUUAGUCCAGUAUCUGUAAAUUUCAAAACCUCCCUACUACCAGAUAUACAAAAGAAUGGCAUAGAUUUAAAUUUUAAAGCAGUUAUCAUAUUUACAACAUAAAAGCGUCUUCUCCAUAUCUUGAUACUGAAUAUUCCUAUCCUUCUCAAAACUAGUCUCUUUUUUUCAGUCGUUUGAAAAAGGAAACAAGAUAAAUUGUAUUUUGAUUCACACUCCGUCUCUCCGUUACUUCACCCCCACUUAGUUCUCAUAAAGAAGCUAUCUCAACUCUUUUACAAACAUAUCUUCCUCUAGAAAAAAUUCCUUUAAAAGCACAGCUUAAGAGCGGCUUUUGUUGGCCUUUCAUCACCAUUUUGCAAAAUCGGUAAAGAAGGGUAGAAUGCUGUUAAAAAUGAUUAAUGGGCUUCAUAAUUUUUCCUGGUGAUCGUAACUAAGUACAAAGUUUUUCAUUGCUGUGCUUAAACGUGCAUUGUGUGCACACCUCUGGGAAUGAUAGAUGCACAAAGGAUGAAGUGAGGGAUCGAGACGGGUAUUUAGAGAUUGUAAAACGGUCAGAAUAAGAGCUGAUUGAUUACAAUCUAAUGUACCCCAGUCAGCUGUUUAAUUUCAGGUGCCCAGCAGUUGGCAUUUGGUGUGUCAUGAAUUGCUACCUAAACGCACUAAUGGUAUUAAUUCAUUAAUUCAAAAACAUGUACCAAAAUUCUGUUUUAUUCUGAAAUCUCAUUAAAAUCAGAUCUAUUUGAAAUUAAAGGCUUAUCGUCCGAUUACGAACAUUUUUCCUUAAAAUCAAACUUGGGCAUGACUAUUAAUCAAAAUUAAUUACGGUGGUUUAUAAGAUGCAGCAUUUUACAUUGGAGUUAGCUUAUGAAUGCAUCAUCUUAUUUCUAUGUAUUACAGCAAUUGCCAUGAAAAUCGAUUUAAAAAAAAAAACCUAAUAUGAUUCAGUAUUGGAGAAUGGAAAUUUGACAAUUCAAACAAAUCAUGCACAAUUUAACAAAACUUACCAUACCAAUACAUUUUUUUUCAUACUAGUAUAUGCAAUCAUAAUAUUAGUACCAUUAUAUAACGUAAUUAUAAGACAUUAGAUUUUUAUCCAGUUCUCACCUUCAUCUACACACAACCAUCAUCUAGGCCUAGCUGAUGGGAAUUAAUCCAAAUGUAGGGAACAUUGGUGAAAAUAAUUAUCAAGUGAGAUCAAUUUUUAACAGAUGUACUUACACGAAGAGCCAGCAUGUGAUUUCCCCUCUAGUUCGGCUUCAAUCUGUGUCGAGAACCGUCAACAUGCAAUGUGUGCUUCAAAUUAUGGUAUCCCCUUAAUGUUCCAAUAUCCUCUGUUAACUAAUAAAUAACCGUAAAUGUUAGUUGAAUGAGAGGAACGUCAUGUCAAGCAAUUAUCUCAUGCCUUGUUUUCGCGGAACAACAAAAACCGAUUACACAUUCCCUUUGAUUGACGCGGGGAACCACUAAUUAUUUGUAAUAGAUUGUCCGAUACGGCGAUACUGGCACAUAGGUAAGAAUUGUCACCCUUGCACACGAUAAGCGCCGAGAUGGCUCGAAGGUAUUUUCCGUUUUACGGAAUCACACGAAUAGGUGUCGGGUACCCGCUGGUCACACCACAGAAAACAAUAUAUGUUGGAAUGAAAAACUGUUAGACACUAAUAUAGAUAUUCAGAGAAUUUGACUGACAACUUCAAUAAUGAUCAUAGGUGAUCUACAGAAUAAUUCCAUGUUGCCAUAAACGAUUAGAUAAUCCCAUUAUUACAACCAAUGAAAAGAGCGAUACCCCUUCAUAAAGACUUUAAUAGAAAUUCAAUAUUCCAAAACUACUAUUGGAAUAAAAAUUCCGACGAUCCCCCUGACCAAAGAUUUAAAUGUAAUUCAUAGAUUUAAAGAAUGCCUCAUAACAGAAAAGUUUAAACAGACACAAAAUGUUAUGCAAUGCAAUAAGGGUGUUAUAAAAAUAUUGUUAUAUUUUGAAUACUUAUAUCAUCGUAACAUCUACAUAGCAUUUUCUCGUUAAAAGUUUGUUCAACCAAGGAUAUUAUAAAUAUCAAAAAUACAGGAGUACAUGUUCUAAAAGAUAAAAUUCAACAGUUUUUGAAUGUACAUGCAUAUAGUCGGGUAGCAAAGGAUAACUUGAAUUCCUAUGAUAUAAUAGUACAUCACAUUUACGAGAAGUAAAAACAAUAAACAAAAAAGCCACGGUAUUAUAUGUAUUUAUGCGCAGGUGCUUGUAUUUUCUCGGCGUACAACAAAGUCAUGGAUAGUAGCUUUUAAGAACACUAGAAUAAAGAAAUGGAGGAACAGAUAGAGAAAUUAAAUGACAAUCUCAGGUACCUUAUCUCGGUACUUUAGUACAAUACAAAGUAGUUCUCCCGAUGGAUAUGUUGGAACAAGAUGAGGAUUUUGAUAAUCUUUGCCGUGGUGAGCUUUACUAAAUUUUACACAACUUCAAUAAGAUGAUCACACCUGCUUUGAGUCCUUAAGGAAACAUUUCACAGCUUCCUUCGCCGGUUAGUCACAUCGGAUUAUCUAGAUCUUGGGCAACACUAUUAGGCGAGAGGACACUGAUUUUCUUUUUCAGUCGUAAUCCUCUAAUACUCGUGAAGGUAAAUAAAGUCAUAACUUAUAAUUGACUCGCUUUGUUGGUUAAUUAAACCAAAGGUUAAAGAUAAAUUGUGUGACAUUUUUUAUCCACAUUUCUUUGAAACACCGAACCCAGACUAACAUCGAGAUGUAUGUUAACAUUUUGUUUAUAGAUUAUCAUAUUAGAUAAUGAAUUAAAUGGACUAAAUUGGAUUGGAUUCCUAAUGAGAAGGUAAAUUCAAAUAGAAGAACUAAAUGAAAUGAAAAUUAAGUAGCUUAAUCGGAAACAAUUUUAGGGCUUAUGAAAUUUUUAUUGUGUUUAGCAACAUAAUGGUGUUUCUCCCUGCAUGUUGUUGCUUCUUUAUAAAAAAAACCAACCCCAUAGUUAGGACCAAAUAACGCUCUAUAGUCUUGUUCCAAAAGAAUAUCAAAUUCUUCCUAAUGAAAUAUAAUUGCUCAUGAGCAAAACUCGUGAAGUUCAAAAUCUUCACAUUUUCUGCAUACGGCAUAUUUUGACCCUGAAAGCUAUCAUGUUCAGUCGAGUCUAUAGAAUUUCAAAAAAAAAAAAAAAAACCGUCAUAGAGUGCAAUUAGAGGAAGUAUAGAAUAGUACAAAUCGAAUACCCUAAUGCGUUUAAAAUUGGAAUUUAAACCGUGGAAAAAUUAUCUGAAAUGAUGAUCAGCUAAAAGUUCUACCAUCUCUCGUCACAGGUAAUGUCUAUCUAAUUUGCUAGUAUCUGAUGAGCAAAGAAACGAACUGUGUUCAACAGAAAAGAAAUUAGAACAGAGACAUUAAAAAUCGGGUGUGAUUUUUAUGGAUGUUAUCAUGAUCAAGAGUGAUAGAGUCUUGGUCUCUCUGUAAGAUAAGGGUCCGGGGCAUUCUCGAUGUACCCCUUCUUUUUUCACGGUCCGUGAUCUCUUAAUGUCUGUGAUUCCCAGAAGAUAACACUUCAAAGCAGCCAAUCUGAUGCGUAUCUACUUAAUAAUUCAUUUGAAGUGUUUAUGUGAGAAAAAUUACAUGUAAUUAUAUUAAUUCAAAUUCCAUCGGCAAUAAGAUUUCCGAAGUUUACUCACAUACCGGUAUCUUUAUGGACUGGAGUGCGCAAUAAUAAAACCAAAUACAAGGGGUUAAAAUGAACUUUUUAUGCAUUUCUAUAUAGUAAAGAAAAUGGCAUAUACCACAUACUAAAAUGAAUGUGUUUACCUGUUACAAUGAAUUCAAUUAUAUAUCAGAAGCAUUGACAAACAUGUAAAAGUUUAAUAUCACAAUCAAUAAUACCAUUUAAAAAAUGAUUUCUUCAAAUUCAUUUCAAACAUUUAAUGUUAAGCACAAAAUAUAUCAUUUUCAAUGGCCAAAUGACUUAUUUGUAAACUAUUUGAACGAUUCAUGCGAGUUCUUAAUGACCCAUGUAGAGGCUUUCAGAAAAAUUAAAAUCAUUUCGAUAAACAACCGAUAACUGCAUAGAUUUUUAUCGAUUCGUAAAGUGACUUUAGGGUUUUUAAAUCGUCGUCAAAAAUGUUUUCAGAUACUUUUCAAAAGAUAUUUUAAGUUGUUGACAGGCGACAUUGAUUGGCAGAGGGUGAUAAGUCAGGAAGAGGUCACGUGUGAGUCUGUCCACGCGCAUACCGGAACUACAGAGACUGGGAGAGACAGCGGAUGACAUCAGCUUCUUGAUGCGUGUGCAUACUUUGAUUCAGUCUUAUUUCUAUGUCAAACUGAAAAGAGUUCCCACAAGAAGGAUAGUACAAC